CUUUGAAAAAGAAAAAAUUUCAGAAAAAGCCAUUGUUCAAAAACUGGCACGAAGAUCUGUCGAAAAAGCAAAAAAAAUCUUAUUAGCGAAACAAAAGAAGGAGACUCAGAUGAUGACAUCGCAGCUCCAAACAGUAAGGUCCACUUCUGUUUUGCACAGUAAACCUGACGACGACAUAUCGGACGAUGAAGCCAGACCAAGGCGUACAAUUCCACAUUAGGCGCAAUCGUACAUACGCGAAAAUGAACUUGCAAUGCAACGAUAAAUUCCGAAGAAAGCAGUCUAUAAAUUCUUUGAUAGAAGAAUGUGCACGCCAGAUUUAACUGAAAUGUUUGAAAAUAUA